AUAUUCUGGUUUUUCUUUAGAUCCUGUAAAUCUUUUGCCUUUUACUAAGUGAGUUUUCUGAACCCUUUGUAAAGAAACAA
rnacentral:snRNA from 1 species